GGAUGAACGCUGGCGGCGUGCCUAAUACAUGCAAGUAGAACGCUGAAGCUUGGUGCUUGCACCGAGCGGAUGAGUUGCGAACGGGUGAGUAACGCGUAGGUAACCUGCCUGGUAGCGGGGGAUAACUAUUGGAAACGAUAGCUAAUACCGCAUGACAACAGUUAUUGCAUGAUAACUGUUUAAAAGGGGCAACUGCUCCACUACCAGAUGGACCUGCGUUGUAUUAGCUAGUUGGUGAGGUAACGGCUCACCAAGGCGACGAUACAUAGCCGACCUGAGAGGGUGAUCGGCCACACUGGGACUGAGACACGGCCCAGACUCCUACGGGAGGCAGCAGUAGGGAAUCUUCGGCAAUGGACGGAAGUCUGACCGAGCAACGCCGCGUGAGUGAAGAAGGUUUUCGGAUCGUAAAGCUCUGUUGUAAGAGAAGAACGAGUGUGAGAGUGGAAAGUUCACACUGUGACGGUAUCUUACCAGAAAGGGACGGCUAACUACGU
rnacentral:rRNA from 1 species